UACGUAGGGGGCAAGCGUUGUCCGGAAUUAUUGGGCGUAAAGAGCUCGUAGGCGGUUUGUCGCGUCGAAUGUGAAACCCCGGGGCUCAACCCCGGGCCUGCAUUCGAUACGGGCAGACUAGAGUUCGGUAGGGGAGUCUGGAAUUCCUGGUGUAGCGGUGAAAUGCGCAGAUAUCAGGAAGAACACCGAUGGCGAAGGCAGGUCUCUGGGCCAUAACUGACGCUGAGAAGCGAAAGCAUGGGGAGCGAACAGG
rnacentral:rRNA from 1 species